rnacentral:lncRNA from 1 species
UAAUAUGCAGAUCUAUCAUACAACGUACAUAAAAUUUUCAAAUGUUGGUUCAUAUCCAAAAUAAAAAUUGUUUAGAGAAAAAAUUAACUUGUAAACAAGCAAAAUAAGAGAUCGUCUCUAUAUAUAUAUAUUUUUUUGGUACAAAAUCUGGGAAGAGGGGCGAGACCGGCGUAGCCAUUCCUCUGACAAGGUCCCUUUCCACCUGGAGUCAUUUCACUUUGGCACUUACUCGGGACUUGAACCUUGGCCGUGGGGGGGUGGGGAGCUCAAGCCCAUUACCAUUGGGGUACCACCGUGGUGGCAGGGAUCGUCCCUAAUUCAAUAGGGGAACUCUCGACCUUCAAAUUGAGAAAAUGGUAGAAAUAAAAAAGAUGGACAUGAGAACAAGGGAAAGAUUAUCUUUCCCCGAAGAAAACUGGGGUUAAAGGAACAAAAACAAUUAUAUCGAUUUCCCAUUAUUAUUUUUCGCUAGAUGUCCUGAUUCUUUGCUGAAACCUUUUGUAAAGGCUCGAUCGCAGGCCUGAUGACAAAAAGAUAGGCGAGAAGUUUCUUCUUGAUCGCUCCUUUGAGUUGGCUUCUACGCCCUCCCCCUCUUCUCCUAACUUUUCUCUUCAAUAGCGGCCCAUACUUAUUAAUCGAGCACGACAAAGCACUUUGUUGCUAGGGAGGAACGAAGAUAAAUGGAUUUCUGCAGAGAAAAUUUAAAUACUCCAUCCAAAAUCUCACCGAACCUGAAAUGAGCUAUGCUGGGGAGGUCUUUAUACGAAGCUGCAAGGGUGACGAAGAAGAUGGAUUGACUGGUCUGUAUACAUCGUGCGUGACAUUUCUGCUACAUUUGGAAUAUAAUUUGUUACAUCCGAUUACAUCUUGCACAGCAACAUGGCGAGUGUCAAAAGAAUAUACCCAAA